AUGCUCGUUUGGUGCUUCAAAUUAGAUAAGAUAAGAUAUAACAUUUCUUUAGUUGAUAUGAAUUAUGACCCGGAUCUUGCGAAUAUAUCGAGUCUAGCCAAUGAUGACACUACAACUUCGAUUAGAUUCGUUCUUAACAAAUUAGUAUUUUUUUUAAUUUGUGAGGGUUGUUCUCUCUAUAUAAAAAAUCAUUGA
rnacentral:rRNA from 1 species